GAUGAACGCUGGCGGCGUGCCUAAUACAUGCAAGUCGAGCGAAUGGAUUAAGAGCUUGCUCUUAUGAAGUUAGCGGCGGACGGGUGAGUAACACGUGGGUAACCUGCCCAUAAGACUGGGAUAACUCCGGGAAACCGGGGCUAAUACCGGAUAACAUUUUGAACCGCAUGGUUCGAAAUUGAAAGGCGGCUUCGGCUGUCACUUAUGGAUGGACCCGCGUCGCAGUAGCUAGUUGGUGAGGUAACGGCCCACCAAGGCAACGAUGCGUAGCCGACCUGAGAGGGUGAUCGGCAACACUGGGACUGAGACACGGCCCAGACUCCUACGGGAGGCAGCAGUAGGGAAUCUUCCGCAAUGGACGAAAGUCUGACGGAGCAACGCCGCGUGAGUGAUGAAGGCUUUCGGGUCGUAAAACUCUGUUGUUAGGGAAGAACAAGUGCUAGUUGAAUAAGCUGGCACCUUGACGGUACCUAACCAGAAAGCCACGGCUAACUACGUGCCAGCCGCCGCGGUAA
rnacentral:rRNA from 1 species